UACGAAGGGGGCUAGCGUUGUUCGGAAUUACUGGGCGUAAAGCGCGCGCAGGCGGUUUCUCAAGUCAGUGGUGAAAGCCCGGAACUCAACUCCGGAACUGCCAUUGAAACUGUGAGACUUGAGGACGAGAGAGGUGAGUGGAAUUCCCAGUGUAGAGGUGAAAUUCGUAGAUAUUGGGAAGAACACCGGUGGCGAAGGCGGCUCACUGGCUCGUUUCUGACGCUCAGGCGCGACAGCGUGGGGAUCAAACAGG
rnacentral:rRNA from 1 species